rnacentral:ncRNA from 2 species
GACGUGCUCCGGGGUCGGUGAAAGUCCGAGCCGGCGGUGACAGUCCGCGACCCGCGCAUGCGGUGGAGCCGGUGGAAUUCCGGCGCCGACAGUACAGCCUGGAUGAGAGGCGCACGUC